GGAGGUUACAGCUCAAGUGGUAGAGCACAUGCUUACCAUGCAUGAGGUCCUGGGUUCAAUCCCCAGUACUUCCU
rnacentral:tRNA from 1 species